rnacentral:rRNA from 1 species
UAAAUCAGUAUCGUUUAUUUGAUAGUACCUUACUACUUGGAUAACCGUGGUAAUUCUAGAGCUAAUACAUGCUAAAAACCCCGACUUCGGGAGGGGUGUAUUUAUUAGAUAAAAAACCAAUGCCCUUCGGGGCUCUUUGGUGAUUCAUGAUAACUUAACGGAUCGCAUGGCCUUGCGCCGGCGACGGUUCAUUCAAAUUUCUGCCCUAUCAACUUUCGAUGGUAAGGUAUUGGCUUACCAUGGUUUCAACGGGUAACGGGGAAUUAGGGUUCGAUUCCGGAGAGGGAGCCUGAGAAACGGCUACCACAUCCAAGGAAGGCAGCAGGCGCGCAAAUUACCCAAUCCCGACUCGGGGAGGUAGUGACAAUAAAUACUGAUACAGGGCUCUUUUGGGUCUUGUAAUCGGAAUGAGUACAAUUUAAACCCCUUAGCGAGGAACAAUUGGAGGGCAAGUCUGGUGCCAGCAGCCGCGGUAAUUCCAGCUCCAAUAGCGUAUAUUAAAGUUGUUGCAGUUAAAAAGCUCGUAGUUGAACCUUGGGCCUGGCUGGCCGGUCCGCCUCACCGCGUGUACUGGUCCGGCCGGGCCUUUCCUUCUGGAGAGCCGCAUGCCCUUCACUGGGUGUGUCGGGGAACCAGGACUUUUACUUUGAAAAAAUUAGAGUGUUCAAAGCAGGCCUUUGCUCGAAUACGUUAGCAUGGAAUAAUAGAAUAGGACGUGCGGUCCUAUUUUGUUGGUUUCUAGGACCGCCGUAAUGAUUAAUAGGGAUAGUCGGGGGCAUCAGUAUUCAAUUGUCAGAGGUGAAAUUCUUGGAUUUAUUGAAGACUAACUACUGCGAAAGCAUUUGCCAAGGAUGUUUUCAUUAAUCAGUGAACGAAAGUUAGGGGAUCGAAGACGAUCAGAUACCGUCGUAGUCUUAACCGUAAACUAUGCCGACUAGGGAUCGGGCGAUGUUUCUAUCUUGACUCGCUCGGCACCU